CGCGGCCUAUCAGCUUGUUGGUGGGGUAAUGGCCUACCAAGGCGACGACGGGUAGCCGGCCUGAGAGGGCGACCGGCCACACUGGGACUGAGACACGGCCCAGACUCCUACGGGAGGCAGCAGUGGGGAAUAUUGCACAAUGAGCGAAAGCCUGAUGCAGCGACGCCGCGUGAGGGAUGACGGCCUUCGGGUUGUAAACCUCUUUCAGCAGGGACGAAGCGUAAGUGACGGUACCUGCAGAAGAAGCGCCGGCCAACUACGUGCCAGCAGCCGCGGUAAGACGUAGGGCGCGAGCGUUGUCCGGAUUUAUUGGGCGUAAAGAGCUCGUAGGCGGCUUGUCGCGUCGACUGUGAAAACCCGCAGCUCAACUGCGGGCCUGCAGUCGUUACGGGCAGGCUAGAGUUCGGUAGGGGAGACUGGAAUUCCUGGUGUAGCGGUGGAAUGCGCAGAUAUCAGGAGGAACACCGGUGGCGAAGGCGGGUCUCUGGGCCGAUACUGACGCUGAGGAGCGAAAGCGUGGGGAGCGAACAGGAUUAGAUACCCUGGUAGUCCACGCUGUAAACGUUGGGCGCUAGGUGUGGGGGACCUCUCCGGUUCUCUGUGCCGCAGCUAACGCAUUAAGCGCCCCGCCUGGGGAGUACGG
rnacentral:rRNA from 1 species